UCAAAGGGGAAAAGGGCUAAUCCAUACAGUGAGAUUUCCGAGAAGGCAGCAGGGGUGGGGCAGGGAGGCCCAGAGCGCAGGUGGAGAGUGAGCCUGGUGUGGAGUUAGCCACUUCUCCCCAGAGGAAGGCAAGGAUGUGGAGGGUGAAAGCGGGCUCGCAGACACGGUGUUGGAACCUAAUCCUCAACGUGGUGGUAGGUUUACCACCUGAAGCAGAGAACAGCCCUCACCAGAUACUGAACCAGCUGGUGCCUUAACAUUGGACUUCCAGCCUCCAGAACUGUGAGAUAGACAAGUAAAAUAGUAAAAACUGGAAUGGUUUCAGAAACACUAGAACAUAUGGUACCCAUCCUAGCAAAAUUCAUUGCCAACGCAGAAACCAAAAAUAAUUGGAAUUUUUGGUGAGGUGAAUUUGGAGACACUGCCAAAAAAUGGACUCUUCCCAUCUCUAUGCCUUCUGCUUGCGGUCUCUGGCCAAAUGCUGUCCAUGGAUGAAAAACAAGGUUUCCCAGGAGGUUGCUAAAGUAGACGGCAUCAUGCAGUAGGACGGCCUUGCCCUGCUGAGGAGAAAUGACAAGGCACAUAUGGUGCUCAUUCCUGCAAACGUCAACUCCUUAUUUCAAAACCAAAAAAUGAAAUAAAAUGCUUUUCAAACAUUUAUGCACAGAUCAAUCGAGAAUGUGGUUCCAAGGAUGUGAGUAGGAUGCCGUGAAGCGGUUGUCAGAGUGUCCUGCAUAUCCCCUUGAUAUCUGGACUUCUUCUAGCUGGUGGUGCAGCCAGGGAACUGACUCACGAUCACUGCAGGGCAGCAUGCCUUUCAGCUCACACCAGGAAGACUCUGCAGAUUGAGUAACUUUCUUCCAAGGGGCUGUUAAACUUUAGAUCCUUCGUGACUCACAGAGUGAAGUCUCACAAUAACCAAAGUUUAGACAACAAAAUAUCCUCAAGAGCACUUAUGAUUUUUACAAAAUAUGCAGCCUCUUUGCCUUUACCUUUAAGUGGCCAUUGGCUGUAUUAGUCAGAACAGGCUAGGUUAUGCUGCAGAACAAACAGGACCUGGAAUCCUUCAACAAAGGUAUAAUUUUUGCUCAUGAUAUUUCUCCAGCACAGGUGAGCAGGUAUUGGGGAGUAGUCUGCUCCACAUAGCCACUCAGGAACCCAGGCUAAAUGAGGCUUUGUUGUCUGUAAUGUGGCCAGUGGCCUAGGCAACAGAAGAGCCUGCACAGACAGCUCACAUCUAUAGUUCAGACCAACAGGGCCACAUAUUACUUCUUGUAGUCCAUUGGCCAGGACUACUCAAAUGACCCCAUUUAAUGGCAGGGAGGUUUGACAUGUAGUCUUUCAUGUGCCUGGUGGAGAGAAGCACUAGUAAUAUCUAUUAGAUUUUAGUAUUUCAUCCACUUACUUGAGCCUGUACUAAAUUCUAGACCUUGUGGUGGAUAUAGAUGCAUAUAAAGUACAUUAAUUGCCCUCAAAAUCUGAAGACACUAUAUCUCAGGAUGGAAAAAGUGAGGUUUGAGACUUUGACCACCCAUACUCAAGCAAUUACAUCAUUUGGAAUAUCUCUCUCCCAAAAGAUGGAGAAUGAUUGCCCAGAGGAAUGAUUGCCCAGAGGAAGACAGACUGGACAAUCCCUGACGCGCAAAUCCAGAAAUUUCAUAUGACCCCUACCAUCAAAGGGCUCAGCAAGCACCCUCUUACUAUACCUGCCAGAGCGCAACUACUGUGCCCUGGCAAUCAAAGCGGGGUGGGUGAUGCAGUGUUCAGAGAAGGAUGAGAAAAAGAGGACUAUGUGAAAAGCAAGAAUAUUCUGAUUGAUGACAUAUUUUAGGCUCUGAGGCAGGACUGGAUCUGCUGUCUGUCAGGCCUCAGAGCCCAAGCUAAGCCAUCAUAUCUCCUGUGACCUGCACAUAUACAUCCAGAUGGCCUGAAGUAACUGAAGAAUCACAAAAGAAGUGAAAGUGGCCCGUUUCUGCCUUAACUGAUGACAUUACCUUGUGAAAUUCCUUCUCCUGGCUCAUCCUGGCUCAAAAGCUCCCCCACUGAGCUUGUGACCCCCAUCACUGCCAGCCAGAGAACAACCCCUUUUGACUGUAAUUUUCCUUUACCUAUCCAAAUCCUAUAAAACGGCCCCACCCCUAUCUCCCUUUGCUGACUCUCUUUUCGGACUCAGCCCGCCUGCACCCAGGUGAAAUAAACAGCCUUGUUG
rnacentral:lncRNA from 10 species